CCCUUCUCAGGAUGGCAUCUGGAGAAUUUCCUGAACUCUACCAGUCUCGGUUACAGGAGGGAGAGUCAAGCAGAGGCAUACCCAUUCCAUUCCUAGCUUGGGCAGUGGCUAGCAAGUGGAAGGCAAUCUGCUACAAGU
rnacentral:snoRNA from 1 species